GAUGAACGCUAGCUACAGGCUUAACACAUGCAAGUCGCGGGACCGGCGCACGGGUGAGUAACGCGUAUCCACCCUGCCCAUCACCACGGGAUAACCCGGCGAAAGUCGGACUAAUACCGUAUGGUGAGGGAUGGUGGUGCGUCCGAUUAGCUUGAGGGCGGGGUAACGGCCCACCGUGGCUACGAUUGGUCGGGGUUCUGAGAGGAAGGUCCCCCAGACUGGAACUGAGACACGGUCCAGACUCCUACGGGAGGCAGGAGUGAGGAAUAUUGGUCAAUGGGCGUAAGCCUGAACCAGCCGAGUAGCGUGCAGGACGACUGCCUAUGGGUUGUAAACUGCUGGUAUGCGGGGAUAGGUACCGCAUGAAUAAGGACCGGCUAAUUCCGUGCCAGCAGCCGCGGUAAUAC
rnacentral:rRNA from 1 species